GACGUAGGGCGCGAGCGUUGUCCGGAUUUAUUGGGCGUAAAGAGCUCGUAGGCGGCUUGUUGCGUCAGCUGUGAAAACCCGCAGCUCAACUGUGGGCUUGCAGCUGAUACGGGCAGGCUUGAGUUCGGUAGGGGAGACUGGAAUUCCUGGUGUAGCGGUGAAAUGCGCAGAUAUCAGGAGGAACACCGGUGGCGAAGGCGGGUCUGCUGGGGUCGAACUGACGCGUGGAGGACGAACGAGCGUGGGGAGCAAACAGG
rnacentral:rRNA from 1 species